ACAUGGACAAGAUGAUGGCUUCUGAUGGUUAGUGGAUUGCCCUGGCAAAUGGGUGUGAAUUGGCUCUCAUCUCUCUUGAAGAUGGUGAAGAUGAUCUCGGGGCCUUGGGAGCUCUGCCUUGUCUCCAUGAUCAGGUUCUUGCAGCUGCUGCAGAUGCUGCACUCACUUUCUCUAGUCAGAAGAAAAAACAGGCUUCUGCACCAGGAAUCCUGAGGGGCAUUGUCAAAGGAAUUAAAAUGCGAGAAGCAGCAAACAAUGGGAAACAUGCUGCGACUUCAAAAUCUGGUGUUACUCAUUUAGGGGAUGUAUUCUCAAAAUCUCCAUUUGCAGACCAGUUACCAACACUUGGAAAUAAUCAGGACAUUGUGGAUGCAUCUUCUAGCACAAAUGAUCAGGAAGUGGAGCUUAGCAUAGAUGACAUUGACAUUGAUGAUCUUGCACCAACUACGUCUAAUUCAGUCUGUAAACCCCAAAAUAGAGACAACAGAACCGAAAGGGAGAAGUUAUUCGAAGGCGCAGCAGAUGUCACGGAACCUAGACUCGGACACCUGAAGAAAUAAUUGCUAAAUAUCGGAAAAGGGAUCCCGCAGCAGUGGCUGAACAAGCAAGAAACAAGCUUCUUGAAAGGCAGGCAAAACUGGAGAGAAUCAGCCAGAGGACUGCAGAACUGCAGAGCGGAGCAGAAGAUUUUGCUCCACUAGCCAAUGAGUUUGUCAAGGUGAUGGAAAGUCGAAAAUGGCGGCACAUAUUAGCCAAACACAUUAUUACUUCACUAUGCACCAAUCCCACUGGCGCCUAUCUUAUUUAAAUACAUGGGUGGCCACUAAUUGAUGUCCAAAAUGAGUGCCCAAACGGCUUCUGCUGUGAAAGUGGAGCUUGCCAUCCAACAGGUGCCAAAGGGUAGAUGCUGCUGUUCCUCCUGAAUUUGCGAAUCUUCUUUCCUGUAAAGCAAUCAAUAGUCGUGGGCUGUGCUUUCUCCUUGGUACGAUAGUUGAUAAAAUAACGUCAUUGCCCUGAUUUUUCACUACUAGAUAGGUGAAUAUGAAUUAUGUUAUGCAAGAAAAUGUUGGUCAGUGAACGUCUUGCCGAUAACAAAUCGACCUUCAUUGGCAUAAUCAUUCAAGCAACACUUGCUGGAGCGUGGAUGAUCUUUUCGCUUCCAGGCUGAA